rnacentral:lncRNA from 1 species
CUAAUAUUGUCCAUUAUUUUGAUUCACAUUCAUCUCCAAAUGAAGUUGGUACAGAUUGUAGUGAGGUUGAGUGUGAGAGUGCCAAUGAUGUUGAGGUAUGGUAUAAUUCUGAGGAAUUACAAACAAUAGAAUUUCAGAAAAAUAGUGAAAUUGAUGUUGGACUGUCAAACUACAAGGAAUUGUAUAAGGGUAUGAGCUUCAAGGAC